rnacentral:rRNA from 1 species
CUACGGGUGGCUGCGGGGAAUAUUGCCCAAUGGACGAAAGUCUGAGGCAGCAACGCCGCGUGUGCGAAGAGGGCCUUCGGGUUGUAAAGCACUUUUGGCGGGGAAGAGGAAGGACAGUACCCGCAGAAUAAGCUUCGGCUAACUACGUGCCAGCAGCCGCGGUAACACGUAGGAAGCGAGCGUUAUCCGGAUUUACUGGGCGUAAAGCGCGUGCAGGCGGUAACGUAAGUUGGAUGUGAAAGCUCCUGGCUUAACUGGGAGAGGUCGUUCAAAACUGCGUAACUAGAGUACGAUAGAGGGAGGUAGAAUUCCGAGUGUAGUGGUGAAAUGCGUAGAUAUUCGGAGGAAUACCAGAGGCGAAGGCGGCCUCCUGGAUCGUAACUGACACUGAGACGCGAAAGCUAGGGUAGCAAACGGGAUUAGAUACCCCCGUAGUC